AAGUCGUAACAAGGUUUCCGUAGGUACGUAGUAUCUUCCUCGAUCCCUUGUUUUAUGUCACUUCUUUGACUCUUUGCUAACUCUUUUUUUAGGUGAACCUGCGGAAGGAUCAUUACUGAGUGAGGGUCCUUGUGGCCCAACCUCCCAACCCUGUGUCUACUUAACCACUGUUGCUUCGGCGGGCCCGUCUCCUCUGGAGACCGCCGGGGGACCGUCGAACGUCCUCUGGCCCGUGUCUGUCGAUAGCCCCCCAUUUAUAAACUCUGAACAAAUCGUGUCAUGUCUGAAUACAAAACAAAUAAAGCAAA
rnacentral:misc_RNA from 1 species